AGUAGAUCAAAAGUUAUGAUAUUAGAAAAAUAUCGUGAAUCUUGUUGGUUUUAGAUAAAGGAGUUUCAGUACAUAUGUCUCUUGUAUGGCUACAUUUGAUAAGUGUCAAAGUCAAAUAAUUCAAAAACUUCAAAACCUUUGCGAAGCCGGAUUUUUUUAUAUAGGCAACGGUCGAAAUGAUCGAAUGUUGUUUUGCUGAAGUCAAGUACUAAGACAUUGGGAUGACGAUGACGAGGCAUGAACAGAAUAUGCAUAAUAGUCUCCCAAAUGCACUUGGGUUUUGUUCAAUAAAGGUAAAAUAUUUAUAGACAAAGUGUGUGGAAAAUAGGAUGUAAAUAAUUAAUCUUAAAAAAAAAAUCUUAUUUAUAUGUCUUAAUAAUUAAUUAUUUUGUGAUGUACAAUAAAUGUAUUAGUUUUACAAAAAAUGUUUUUUUUUAUAUUUAAUGUUAAGAGUUGUAUGUCAACCAUUGCUUUAAAUAUAAUGCUUUAUAAGAGCUACACAUUUUAUAGUUGUUUAUGUGUCGGACAAAUAAUGGUUUUGUAGAGCAAAAUAGAUUAUACAACGUUGGACA